UACGUAGGGUGCAAGCGUUGUCCGGAAUUAUUGGGCGUAAAGAGCUCGUAGGCGGUCUGUCGCGUCUGCUGUGAAAACUCGGGGCUUAACUCCGGGCCUGCAGUGGGUACGGGCAGACUAGAGUGCGGUAGGGGAGACUGGAAUUCCUGGUUUAGCGGUGAAAUGCGCAGAUAUCAGGAGGAACACCGGUGGCGAAGGCGGGUCUCUGGGCCGUAACUGACGCUGAGGAGCGAAAGCGUGGGGAGCGAACAGG
rnacentral:rRNA from 1 species